rnacentral:rRNA from 1 species
CCUACGGGAGGCUGCAGUGGGGAAUAUUGGACAAUGGGCGAAAGCCUGAUCCAGCCAUGCCGCGUGUGUGAAGAAGGCCUUCGGGUUGUAAAGCACUUUUAGUGGGGAAGAAAGCCUUGGGGCUAAUACCCUCGAGGAAGGACAUCACCCACAGAAGAAGCACCGGCUAACUCCGUGCCAGCAGCCGCGGUAAUACGGAGGGUGCGAGCGUUAAUCGGAAUUACUGGGCGUAAAGCGCGCGUAGGCGGUCUGAUAAGCCGGUUGUGAAAGCCCCGGGCUCAACCUGGGAACGGCAUCCGGAACUGUCAGGCUAGAGUGCAGGAGAGGAAGGUAGAAUUCCCGGUGUAGCGGUGAAAUGCGUAGAGAUCGGGAGGAAUACCAGUUGCGAAGGCGGCCUUCUGGACUGACACUGACGCUGAGGUGCGAAAGCGUGGGUAGCAAACAGGAUUAGAUACCCGGGUAGUC